CAAUGGAAGUUAAGCAGGAUCAGGCCUGGCUAGUUCUUGGGUGGGAGACCAUCAGAGAAUGUCACAGAUCUUCCAUGGC
rnacentral:rRNA from 1 species